rnacentral:rRNA from 1 species
AUUGAACGCUGGCGGCAUGCCUUACACAUGCAAGUCGAACGGUAACAGGUCUUCGGAUGCUGACGAGUGGCGAACGGGUGAGUAAUACAUCGGAACGUGCCUAGUAGUGGGGGAUAACUACUCGAAAGAGUGGCUAAUACCGCAUGAGAUCUACGGAUGAAAGCAGGGGAUCGCAAGACCUUGUGCUACUAGAGCGGCCGAUGGCAGAUUAGGUAGUUGGUGGGAUAAAAGCUUACCAAGCCGACGAUCUGUAGCUGGUCUGAGAGGACGAUCGGCCACACUGGGGCUGGGACACGGCCCAGCCUCCUCCGGGAGGCAGCGGUGGGGAAUUUUGGACAAUUGGCGCAAGCCUGAUCCAGCAAUGCCGCGUGCGGGAUGAAGGCCUUCGGGUUGUAAACUGCUUUUGUACGGAACGAAAAGCCCCGGGUUAAUACCCUGGGGUCAUGACGUUACCGUAAGAAUAAGCACCGGCUAACUACGUGCCAGCCGCCGCCGUAA